rnacentral:lncRNA from 1 species
GUUUUUCAGAAAUGUUUAUAGGUAUAGAUAAACUGGAAAUGUUGAAGGAAUGAUGCAGAGAGAAAAUAGGACAGCUACCUAAAGUGAUAGCCUUAUCACUGUUUUAAAAAUAUUUCACUCAUAGUGUGCUUCCCAAAGUAACAUGCUACCCAAAUGCUCAUGGCACCAAAGAAAAUAUUAAUUCCACUGUUACAACCUGUAGUUUUCUCUCUUCAACCUUAUGACUAAUACAAAAUAAUCUGGUGCACACAAAUAAAGACUCAGGAAAAUAAAUUGAUGAAAGAAGCAUUUUCUUUCUUCUAAAAGAAUCCUGUAAAAUGCUGUUUUCAUGAAGACCAUUUCAAAGGUUUACACACAGAAUGGGAGUUUAAAGAUAUGCAGUCUUGAAGGAAAUAAUCAGCCCACAUUGUGGUUUCUUCAACAGCUGUAAUCUUGCUUGUGAUUAUUACUAAUUGCUCUUUCAGUUUUACAAAAAUAAAAAUAGACGCGAUACCCCAUAAAUUACCCAAACACAUCCACAUUAAUCUGUAUACAGUUAGCCAUUCUUCUAACUCUUUCCUAGCUACUUAGGUACCUACUGAAAGAGAAUAGCAGCUAUUUAAUCAAGCUUCUCCUGGCACUGUGUUCCAAUAUUGUUUCCUAUCUAGCCUCAACAAUAAAAGGACAGGAAUAUAAAGAGACAUUCAGAACAAGAUUUCAUGUGGUUUCUGACCACAAAGUUCCAUCAUGAGAAUAAAAGAAGUAGAGUGAAUAUUUAGUCAAAGUCGAGAAUACCAGCAAAGAUUAGUUGUUGUUUUUUUAUAUCCUACACUGUCAACAUGCGUUUAUAUUCUCAGGGUGGCUAGUGUGAUAGGAAUUUUGGGGUCUUAGAUAUAUGGUAAUGUUCAUAACUGCAUGUACAUAGAUCAGCACAGGAAGACCAACCUGGAACCAUUUUGAUUCCUAAACUGACCAAAUGUUUUCUUUGAAAGGUCAAAGUGGGAAACCUCCCCAUUGUCUUUUCCUUCACAAAUCCUGUCUUAAGAGUAUGUCUGUUUGAAUAGGGUGUGAGCCUGUGACCUGGCCCAGGAACUAAGUAUUUAUCAUUACAAAAGACUGGCCAGGCUACCCAGGAAAUCCAAUCAAGUAACCUGCCAGACAGGAGAUAAACAAGGACAGGAGAAAAAACAACAUUCAAAUGUUCUGUUUUGGACCGCCUUUUCUGUGAUGUAGGUGUGAUGUAUCUGAGGGGUGGUCUUAGGUUACACCCCUUCUGUGAUGUAUGUAUGAUGUUUCUGGGGGUGGUCUUGAUCUACAGGAUGGGAAUUUCAAAAGUCUUUAUAAGGCCUUGCAUGCCAUUUUUCUGGGUCCCUCCUCUCUCCUGCGGGUGAGGGGAGCACCCUGUUGCAACAGAUUAAUAAAGAUCAAGCUUACUAGCUGCUUUGCUUCUCAAUAUUCUCUGGUUGGCCUCUGUUAUUCUCUCCUACCAAUAGGGAACCUAUGUAAGGACUCUAUAUGGGCUCUUGGAUACCCCAUAAGGGAAAAGGGCAUAUUUUUGUUUACAACACUAGCAGCACUAGCAGAGCAUUACUAUGAAGUCCACAGUUAGAUGAAGAUACAAUUAUUAGGACCAACCAAAAGUCACAAAAAUGUGACAUAAGUCCUAAUCAGGCAAGAUGUUAUGUGAAGCAGGAGGUGAUGGAAUGAGAAGAAAGGAAAUACAACAGUUAGGCUAGAUGUCAUAGGCCUGAGAACAAACCAACCUCAUUGCUACAACAUCUAGCUUUAUUUUUGUACCUUUGUUAUUUUGUUGUCUUUUCUCAUUCUGUCACUCCUUGCUUUGAGUAACAUCCUGACCAAUGAAGUGUUCUAGAAAACUCAAGUUUUCUAUUUUCAAGUCCUAUUUUUGUGACUUUUUGGUUGGUCAUAAGAGUUGAAUGGUUUGCCAAUUUUGUUUUUCUCAGUUUCUCAUUUUUCCAAUCUGAAAUUCAGUUCUAAAUCACAUUUUUGCAGCAAUUUGCUUUUAAAAAAACAUCACAAAAGUACAUCAUCACUUUCGUAUGCAAUUUGACUAAUUUUCAUAUUUUUACAACUAAUGUUCUCUGAUAUAAUGCAUCUUCUAUGUUAUUUUCAUAAAUAUAUUUUUGUCCACACUUUCCCCUAAUAUAUGCAUUUUUUUGUAAAUAUUGUUUGGUUGGAGGACUCCAUCACAAAAUUCAGAGGAAUGUGAAUUUUGAAGGAUGAUUGUGCUUUGCUUGUCAUUUCAAAAAGUACAAAUUCCUCUUCCAUCCCUACCUAUAAUAAAGGCAUUACCCAACUAUGGACUGCAGCUUUUUCUUAUGGACCAGCACAACCACCUUUGUUUUUAAUUAGAAACUACUAAUUGAAUUUUCCCCCUCAUAGCAUAUCUACAGCAGUGUGUCUGUUAGACAUGGUACUAUUUUAUUAUUUUACUCCUGUGGCUUUGGAAAUGGUUUUAUGCUAGCUAAAUUAAAUUGUAAUGUAUUAUAGGAUUUUGCAGGGGCUUUCUUAUUAGUUUUAGAUUAUAUGUUGUAACAUAAUGAUAUGCAAUGUGAUUUAUGUUUUAUUGUUAUACUGCUGGUCCAGUUUAUAAAUAUUU